rnacentral:rRNA from 1 species
GACGAACGCUGGCGGCGUGCUUAACACAUGCAAGUCGAACGGUAAGGCCCUUCGGGGUACACGAGUGGCGAACGGGUGAGUAACACGUGGGUGAUCUGCCCUGCACUUCGGGAUAAGCCUGGGAAACUGGGUCUAAUACCGGAUAGGACCACUGCCUGCAUGGGUGGUGGUGGAAAGCUUUUGCGGUGUGGGAUGGGCCCGCGGCCUAUCAGCUUGUUGGUGGGGUGAUGGCCUACCAAGGCGACGACGGGUAGCCGGCCUGAGAGGGUGACCGGACACACUGGGACUGAGAUACGGCCCAGACUCCUACGGGAGGCAGCAGUGGGGAGUAUUGCACAAUGGGCGCAAGCCUGAUGCAGCGACGCCGCGUGAGGGAUGACGGCCUUCGGGUUGUAAACCUCUUUCAGCACCGACGAAGCGCGAGUGACGGUAGGUGCAGAAGAAGGACCGGCCAACUACGUGCCAGCCGCCGCCGUAA